rnacentral:tRNA from 1 species
AGAUCGGUAGCUCAAGCGGGCAGAGCAACUGGUUCUUACCCAGAAGGUUCGGGGUUCGAGGCCCCGUCGAUCUACCA